rnacentral:rRNA from 1 species
GAAUUGAUCUGGUCAGGAUGAACGCUGGCGGCGUGCCUAACACAUGCAAGUCGAACGAAGCACUUUGUUACGAUCCCUUCGGGGUGACGACUUUGUGACUGAGUGGCGGACGGGUGAGUAACGCGUGGGAAACCUGCCCUAUACCGGGGGAUAACAGUUGGAAACGACUGCUAAUACCGCAUAAGCGCACGAGAUGGCAUCAUCUAGUGUGAAAAAACUCCGGUGGUAUAGGAUGGUCCCCGCGUCUGAUUAGCUAGUUGGUGAGGUAACGGCCCACCAAGGCGACGAUCAGUAGCCGACCUGAGAGGGUGACCGGCCACAUUGGGACUGAGACACGGCCCAAACUCCUACGGGAGGCAGCAGUGGGGAAUAUUGCACAAUGGGCGAAAGCCUGAUGCAGCCGACGCCGCGUGAGCGAUGAAGUAUUUCGGUAUGUAAAGCUCUAUCAGCAGGGAAGAAAAAAUGACGGUACCUGACUAAGAAGCUCCGGCUAAAUACGUGCCAGCCGCGGC